UCACCGGGAUAAAGGCAUCUUA
rnacentral:miRNA from 1 species